rnacentral:rRNA from 1 species
GAUGAACGCUGGCGGCGUGCCUAAUACAUGCAAGUCGAGCGAACAGACGAGGAGCUUGCUCCUCUGACGUUAGCGGCGGACGGGUGAGUAACACGUGGAUAACCUACCUAUAAGACUGGGAUAACUUCGGGAAACCGGAGCUAAUACCGGAUAAUAUAUUGAACCGCAUGGUUCAAUAGUGAAAGACGGUUUUGCUGUCACUUAUAGAUGGAUCCGCGCCGCAUUAGCUAGUUGGUAAGGUAACGGCUUACCAAGGCGACGAUGCGUAGCCGACCUGAGAGGGUGAAGGGCGACAGUGGAACUGGACCACCGCCCUGAGUCCGACGGGAGGCAGCAGUAGGGAAUGUUCGGCGAUGGGGGAAAGCCUGACGGAGCAACGCCGCGUGGGUGAUGAAGGUCCGCGGAUCGUAAAACUCUGUAAUUAGGGAAGAACACAUGUGUAAGUAACUAUGCACGUCGUGACGGUACCUAGUCAGAAAGCAACGGCUAACUACGUG